CCUACGGGAGGCAGCAGUGAGGAAUAUUGGUCAAUGGACGAGAGUCUGAACCAGCCAAGUAGCGUGAAGGAUGACUGCCCUAUGGGUUGUAAACUUCUUUUAUAUGGGAAUAAAACGUUCCACGUGUGGGAUUUUGUAUGUACCAUAUGAAUAAGGAUCGGCUAACUCCGUGCCAGCAGCCGCGGUAAUACGGAGGAUCCGAGCGUUAUCCGGAUUUAUUGGGUUUAAAGGGAGCGUAGGUGGGUUGUUAAGUCAGUUGUGAAAGUUUGCGGCUCAACCGUAAAAUUGCAGUUGAAACUGGCAGUCUUGAGUACAGUAGAGGUGGGAGGAAUGCGUGGGGUAGCGGUGAAAUGCUUAGAUAUCACGAAGAACUCCGAUUGCGAAGGCAGUUCACUGGACUGCAACUGACACUGAGGCUCGAAAGUGUGGGUAUCAAACAGGAUUAGAUACCCCAGUAGUC
rnacentral:rRNA from 1 species